UAUUCAGAGAGAUUUCACUACGAUAUCACAGCGACGUUAUCAUGACCUUACUACGACCAUUACGUUCUCACCGCGACCCAACUACGCUUCCACUACGACUAAACCACGCUGAUCACGACCAUAGUACGAUUCUAGCACGCCCUUGCCGUCCUCAUCACGCUCUUCUCACGACCUUACUACGUUCACACUACGACCAUCAUUUUUAUUGUCAUUUUCCCAUAAAAUAUAUCAAAAAAAAUCCCUAGAUUUUGUUUGUCUGAAAGUAUUUAUCCAUUUGCACUAACGGCUCAACUAUGCUUCUCGUUUUUAUAUAGAUUAGACCGUUGGUUUUUCCCGUUUAAAUGGUUUAACAUUAGUAUUUGUUUGGGCCCUUUUUAGCGUGCUGUUCGGUGUGAGCCAAGGCUCCGUAUUGAAGGCCGUACCUUGGCCUAUAAUGAUUUACUUUUAUAGAUUUUUACGUUGAUGAAGAGUUGUCUCAUUGGCACUCAUACCACAUCUUCCUAUAUAUAUUGACACAUCUGUGUCAUCUCUGCUAUCGUUCACUAAAAUAUCGUCAUUUGAGCUUUAUGGACCAGCAAUAGGUUGUAU
rnacentral:lncRNA from 1 species